rnacentral:pre_miRNA from 1 species
AAAGUUGUCAAAGUGGCUGUGAUGUGUGACAUUCUUCAUAUCACAGCCUGCUUUGAUGAGCUUUU